rnacentral:rRNA from 1 species
CAGCAGCCGCGGUAAUACCGGCGGCCCGAGUGGCGGUCACUAUUAUUUGGCUUAAAGCGUCCGUAGCCGGGUUGGGAAGUCCUCCGGGAAAUCUGGCCGCUUUAAGGUCAGAAUGCCGGAGGAUACUCCCAGCCUAGGGAGCGGGAGAGGCCGAGGGUAUUCCCGGAGUAGGGGUGAAAUCCUAUAAUCCCGGGAGGACCACCUGUGGCGGAGGCGCUCGGCUGGAACGCGUCCGACGGUGAGGGACGAAGGCCAGGGGAGCAAACCGGAUUAGAUACCCGGGUAGUCCUGGCUGUAAACGAUGCGGACUUUGUGUCGGACAAGCUAUGAGCUUGUCCGGUGCCGGAGGGAAACCGUUAAGUCCGCCGCCUGGGGAGUACGGCCGCAAGGCUGAAACUUAAAAGAAUUGGCGGG